GGCUAACGCUGGCGGCGUGUCUUAGCCAUGCAAGUCGAGCGGACUUAUGGGGUAACUUAUAAGUCAGCGGCGGACGGCGGAGUAACACGUAGCUAACCUACCCUCUGGACGGGGAUAACCUACCGAAAGGUGGGCUAAUACCCGAUGUAGUCAUCCUGUAUAGGGGUGAUGAAAGGUGGGCUUCUGUUUACAAGCUCAUGCUGGAGGAGGGGGCUGCGGCCUAUCAGGUAGUUGGUAGGGUAAUAGCCUACCAAGCCGAUGACGGGUAGCCGGCCUGAGAGGGUGACCGGCCCGAGGGGCACUGAGAUACGGGUCCCACUCCUACGGGAGGCAGCAGGCUAGAAAUUUGGGCAAUGGGGGAAACCCUGACCCAGUGACGCCGCGUGCAGGAAGGAGCCCUUCGGGGUGUAAACUGCUGUCGUGUAGGGAGAAGGGUACUAAGGUGAACAAUCUUAGUACUUGACGGUACUACAGGAGGAAGCCCAGGCUAACCUCGUGCCAGCAGCCGCGGUAAGAUAGCGUACU
rnacentral:rRNA from 1 species